UUGGUGCCGCGUGUGUGAAGAAGGUCUUCGGAUUGUAAAGCCCUUUUGGCGGGGACGAUGAUGACGGUACCCGCAGAAUAAGCUCCGGCUAACUUCUUGCCAACAGCCGCGGUAAUACUAAGGGGGCUAGCGUUGCUCGGAAUGACUGGUGCGUAAAGGGCGCGUAAGCGGCUAAAUUACUGGGCCUAACCGUGUGAAAUUCCUGGGCUCAACCUGGGGACUGCGCCGAACUCACCUAGGCUAAAUUGCAUAAGAGGGUUGUGGAAUUUCCUGUGUAAAAGGGAAAUUCAAUUAUAUUUGUAACAAUAACAUUGGUAAAUAUGGGAACGAACACCUUUGGCGAAGGCGGCGCCCUGGACCGUGACUGACGCUCAGGCUUAAAAGCGUGGGGAGCAAACAGGAUUAGAUACCCUGGUAGUCCACGCCCUAAACUAUGUGUGCGGGGUGCUUAGCACUUCAGUGUCGUAGCUAACGCGAUAAGCACACCGCCUGGGGAGUACGGACGCAAGGUUCAAACUCAAAGGAAUUGACGGG
rnacentral:rRNA from 1 species